AGAUUCUGACCUCUUCCGUCAACACCAUCCAGCUAAUUCACCUGCGUGCCACCAUGAAGCCAGUGAUGCUUACAAAUGGAAACCACAGCCUCUUCCGUGAGCACUUUGGAAAGAGAGAGCAGAAGAUCGGGCUGCCUUUCGGGAAUCAUGAGGCCUUACACAGGAUCCUAGACCUCCAUCGGGAGCUAUUAAAUGGGAUUGAGGUUAGAGGUGGGGCAGGCAUUAGGGGAGGAUCCUGAAUUUACCUCUCUCCUCACAAUAGCUUCUCAGCAUCGAUUGCCUUUUCUCCAGGUUGUGGGGAAGUAGGUGGGGCUCAAAACAUUUUUUUUUUCCUACUCCUGAAAUGUAGAACUUGUAUAUGUAUAUUUAAAGGACCACUGAGCAGUUCUAGAUGGACCAAUCCAAUUUUAUAAUUCAACUUUAUAGGAUGAAUGAUGGAAGAUUACUUUGACUAGCUCUUUGUAGUUCUAUGAAGAAAACCUUAGCACACUGGGUCAGUUCUUGGGUCCGCUGGUAGUUUAGUUACCUGUUCUGUGGUGCAUUUUCUUAAUCCAGUACAUCCAGGAGUGUGCUAGCCUUUCUUUCUCUCUGUGUUUCUUAGCUUGGAAACAAUCUUCCUCCCUUUUGGCACUCAAAAUGGUUUCAUUUACAUCCAGUUUUAUUUACUCAGACAAUAUUGAACUUGACUAUAUUUUGUGCCACAUCUUCUGUUUGGAGCUGGGAAUGAAUACACAAGGAAGUCAAUCAAAGGCAGUUCUAGCCUUGCCCUCACCACAUGCAGUCAAAUGUGGGCUACAACAGUUAAGCAGGCUUGUGACACGAGGAAAAGACUAUGUGACACAGAGCUCAAGAGCCUUUUGGGAGCCCUCAGGGUGUGCUGUUUUCCAGCCUUGCAGUGUUCGGAGCCAGUAGCUUUCUUCAGAGGCAGGGAUGAAGUGGAGCCGGCAUACACUGUGGCAAUCCUCCUCCUCUGAAACUCUGCAGGAUAAGAGAAAUCCUCUCCUCUCUGGACUUUGGGAUGUGGAGAGGUCUUUUCUCUUUGGAAUAGUGUAUGGCCUAUCUGCUCCAUCGCAGCAAGAGUAGCAGGUUGUCCUGGGAAGACAAAAUGUGUUACUUUACUGGGAAGCAGGAGCAGGGAGGAGGCUGACAUUUAUAAAGUAACUAUAUUAGAUACAACAUUUAAGUUGCGUUCCAGACUUUAAAUGUACCCAACUCAGU
rnacentral:lncRNA from 1 species